UCCAGAUCGGAUAUGUAAUAUAUGUGGGUGUCUUUUCAGAACAUUGUCUGGUUUAAAAACCUGCAUCAGAUGCCAUGAUUUUUCUAAGGUGUCGGUACAGGAGGUGGUCAAACUCUGUAUAAGUAUAAGACAACCAC